UCAAGAAACUUCCACAAUGGCCGAAAGCCUGAUGGAGCGACGUCGCGUGAUGGACGAAGUGCUUCGGCACGUAAACAUCUUUUAUGUGGGAUGAAAUUAUUGACAGUACCACAUGAAUAAGGGGCUCCUAACUCUGUGCCAGCAGGAGCGGUAAUACAGAGGCCCCAAGCGUUAUCCGGAAUCACUGGGCGUGAAGGGUGUCGAGGCGGUUGUAUUAGUCGUUCGUAAAAUCUACGAGCUUAACUUGUAGGCGGCGAACGAAACGGUACGACUUGAGGUUUGGAGAGGUGCGUGGAACUCACGGUGUAGGGGUGAAAUCCGUCGAUAUCGUGGGGAACACCAAAGGCGAAGGCAGCGCACUGGCCAAAAUCUGACGCUCACACACGAAAGCUAGGGUAGCGAAGAGGAUUAGAUACCCUAGUAGUCCCUGAGCGGGCUGGCAAGGCGCAU
rnacentral:rRNA from 1 species